rnacentral:rRNA from 1 species
GACGUAGGGCGCGAGCGUUGUCCGGAUUUAUUGGGCGUAAAGAGCUCGUAGGCGGCUUGUUGCGUCAGCUGUGAAAACCCGCAGCUCAACUGUGGGCUUGCAGCUGAUACGGGCAGGCUUGAGUUCGGUAGGGGAGACUGGAAUUCCUGGUGUAGCGGUGAAAUGCGCAGAUAUCAGGAGGAACACCGGUGGCGAAGGCGACAUCCUGGACCGGCAUUGACGCUGAGGCGCGAAAGCCAGGGGAGCAAACGGG